rnacentral:tRNA from 1 species
UGUUCUGUAGCUUAGUUGGUUAAAGCGCCGGUCUAGCGUACACGGAGUCGUGAGUUCGAGUCUCACUAAACCGC